rnacentral:rRNA from 1 species
GAUGAACGCUGGCGGCAUGCCUAACACAUGCAAGUCGAUCGGUAAGGCUCUUCGGAGUACACGAGAGGCGGACGGCUGAGUAACGCGUAGGAAAACACCCUGCAGUGAGGGAUAAGACACCGAAAGGUGUUCUAAUACCGCAUACGGUCUUCGGAUUAAAGCAUUUAUGCGCUGAAGGAGUGGCCUGCGUCAUAUUAGAUAGUUGGUGAGGUAAUGGCUCACCAAGUCGAUGAUGUGUAGCUGGUCUGAGAGGAUGAUCAGCCAGACUGGAACUGAGACACGGUCCAGACUCCUACGGGAGGCAGCAGUGAGGAAUAUUUCACAAUGAGCGAAAGCUUGAUGGAGCAAUGCCGCGUGCAGGAUGAAGGCCCUCGGGUUGUAAACUGCUUUUAUAAGAGAAGAUUAUGACGGUAACUUAUGAAUAAGAGACGGCUAACUACGUG